AUUGAACGCUGGCGGCAGGCCUAACACAUGCAAGUCGAACGGUAACAGGAAACAGCUUGCUGUUUCGCUGACGAGUGGCGGACGGGUGAGUAAUGUCUGGGAAACUGCCUGAUGGAGGGGGAUAACUACUGGAAACGGUAGCUAAUACCGCAUAACGUCGCAAGACCAAAGAGGGGGACCUUCGGGCCUCUUGCCAUCGGAUGUGCCCAGAUGGGAUUAGCUAGUAGGUGGGGUAACGGCUCACCUAGGCGACGAUCCCUAGCUGGUCUGAGAGGAUGACCAGCCACACUGGAACUGAGACACGGUCCAGACUCCUACGGGAGGCAGCAGUGGGAAUAUUGCACAAUGGGCGCAAGCCUGAUGCAGCCAUGCCGCGUGUAUGAAGAAGGCCUUCGGGUUGUAAAGCACUUUCAGCGGGGAGGAAGGGUAGUGUGUUAAUAGCACAUUGCAUUGACGUUACUCGCAGAAGAAGCACCGGCUAACUCCGUGCCAGCCGCCGCCGUAA
rnacentral:rRNA from 1 species